UGAAAUUAGGCAUUAACUGUACUGCCUCAGGUUUGGAUUAUUGAUUUUCCCUUUUUCUUUUUUUUUUUUCCUGGGAAUUUUAGUUGAAGGGAAAUUUCUAAUCUUUUAUAAUAUCUGUGCAUUUCGAUAGGAGUCAUAUGCAAUACUUAAAGAACCACUGGGGGCUGUUUAUUCUGAAAAUUCUUUUCAAUCUGUUUUAAAUUAUUUUGAUGAUUCGAGCCUGGAGAAUUCGCGAAUCACAAGACAACUCACUGUAAGGUUCCCAUUAUUUCAGUUUCUUGGAAUCCAAUUAAGUUUACUUUUUUAUUAUAUUUCAUUCAACUUAAAUAUUCCCUUUAAUAAUGAUAUCUGCAUUUGCUAGAAUCAUUGAGCAGUAAUGAUGGCAGCAAGCAGGCUGUGGACGGGAAAUCGAUACAGGUGACUGAAACUGGCAUGAAGCUCGGACCGACAGGGAAAAUUCCAAGAAAAAUGAAUUAAUUGGGAGAAAUGGAGCAUAAAUUGAUCCCAAGAAUGAAAAUAAUUCUCAGAAUUCUGAGCACAUAUUGAGCAAAAUUCCUGUGGAGGAAAGGUAUAAUUAUAUUUAGUUUAUUUUCUUCUCAAUUAGUUUUGCUAUCAGUUUAAUGCCUAAUGUUUCAAAUUCAUAAUGUCAUUCAUUUUAAGGUUUGAUACAUACAUUUUUCUUCCUAAUCACGAUCCUAUAAUAAGAACAAGAGAUCUUUGAUACUUACAUUCUUCUUCCUAGGGUCCCGGAUUAUACGUUGUAACGUGACAUGUUUUAGGUCGUCACUGGUCAGCAGGGCGGCCCUGCCCAAAGCAGGCAAGGUCAUUGCCUUGGACCUCAGAUUUUAAGGGGCCUCUAACAAAGAAAGAAAGCCCAGAAACUCCCCAAUCCAAAACCCCUCAAAUCCCUUGAGGGGGGGGGGAAGAAAAAAAAAAGAAACAAACCAUCACCGUCUUUUUCUCCAAGACUCCAACCGGCAAGCAUCUUCAUUCUCCACCAAAAAAUCUCUCUAUUCCAUUGAAUUUUCAGUCUACAAAUCUGAUUUCUGAAGUACCUAUUGGCAGUUGUCUUCUCUUCACGUUUUUGUCAAUUUCUUUUUGUGAUUUGAAUUCCCUUUGCAAAAACCUCGUCUGAAAUAUAACCAUGGAUAUUCUCUUCUUCUGUAAAUCCAAUACACAGACGGUGGACUCGAUCACAAAGUUUGAGAUAAACAAUGGAAUAUGAGGAGAGAAAAAUUUUCCCAGGUAAACUUAUUUAUUGGUUAAACCCUCUCUCUCAAAUUAUGAAUUUCUUUGUUACUACUGGCAUAAAUUCAUUAAUAUUUGUUUCAAAUUUUGUGACUUCAUUGCAUCAAGAUUUUAUAAUUUGAUAUGCCGUGAGCGAUGGAGAGAAGCAAUACUCAUAAUAGGGGCAUUCCAUUAAUCUAUUCGAACUACUGUAAUCAACAAAAUUUAAUUAAAAUCCAACCCACUAAGAAAGAGAAUGAAUUUAUUAAUAUUAUAUUCAUUGAACCCAAUUCAACAAAUAACUGUUGAUUAUUUUAUUUAUUAAAGAAAUGAAGAAAGGAGUGUAACUCAUGUCUUCGCAGAUUUUGAUUGUGUGUGAACUGUGAUGGAACUAAAGAUCAGGCGUUUAACUCAAUAAAGAUGAGGGAGGGCAUUUUGUACAGGAGCAGAUGCGGCUUUAGUGUUAAUUUUUGAGAAUUUCACUUUUGCGUUUUAAAUUUUAAUUAGUAAUAAAUUAAUCUACGCCUGUGUGUUUGUUCCCUGUAAUUUUACCUGAUGGUUUUAAUAUUGGAGCUUCAAGAAAACCCCCCCUUAAUGUGUUGUAAUAGACUUUUUUAUCCUUUUAGUUAUUUGCUCAAGGUAGACUUUUGCUUAUCCUCUAUAACUAUAUAUUUGCAGGCCAUUUGUUAUUGCCGAAUCCUUUAUUUUUGGAGAGGUUUGGAAAAAGUUGAUUUUAGUAGUUUGAUUACUAAUUUUACAUCUCAAAAUAUGAUAAGGUUAAAUUUUAUGCUAGCCUAAUCUCUAGGGUUGUGAGUAAAGUUUUAUUUUACUACUCUAUCUUUUGAAUUUUAUACUCCUCUUUUUAAUAUAAAAGUGUUAAUUAUUUCAAUAUUAAAUAUUAUUACACUUGUAAAUAAAAAUAUUUUGUUGAAGGUCCUCAUAUUAAUUAGUCGCCUGGGGCCUCUAAAUUCUCGAGGCCGGCCCUGCUGGUCAGGCUUCAAAAAUAUGCUUUAAGGGAAUGAAUAAAUUUUCAAUUAUGUAUAUUGUGUAGAAAGGGAGAGAAAAAGAGAAAAGGGGACAGUUAAAAAGGUAGAGUUCUUAAUUCUUAUGUCUGUAUUUUGCAAUGCAUCUAACCAUUGAAACAAUGGUUGGUAUACAAAAGUAGUUUUUGUUAUAGCCUUGCUUCCUGUAGUCUAAACUUUUGGUUCUCUUUCUUUUAUGGGGUUCCUGUUAUGAAACAAAACACGAGUAACCUGGAAAUCUACAAAAGAUGGUAGUAGAGAACAAGGGAAGACUACGACUGAGAAAGAGAACGAACCAACAUUUUUGCUUGAUGCACGUGUUUGUCAUCUUAAGGAUAAGCUCGUAAGAGCAAAGGUUUAUCUUUCCUUCUCUGCGACUCGAAACAAUCCCCAUUUCAUGAGAAAGCUCUGAUUACUUAUGAAGGAAGUCCUACGAACAAUUGGGGAUGCCACAAAGGAUUCCGAGAUAGAAAAAAUAAGCUUUUUUGUUGGAUAUCCUUACUUUUCAAUGUUUAGAGGCUCUCAAGCUUUUGAUGAAAUGGCUUGGAGGUUUUCAUUGUUCUUUUUCAUUUUUCAACAUUCUUUUGUUAUUUUAUACUUCACUUGUUGUGCUCUAAUUUUAGUGCCUACGAGAAGCUAAAAACAAUGGAGCAAACUUUGGUGAAAGGCAAGCAAAUACAAGAUGACUGUGUUGCUGUGUUAGGAAGCUAUGUGCAAUGCUUCAUUUGACAGAAGAACAACUUCGAGCUCACAAAAAGCGGGCCUUGUUUUUUAUGCAUAUAACUGCCAAAACGCUUCCUAAAGGACUUUGUAGUCUUCCUUUGUGCCUAUCAAUAGAGUUUUUCAUGUGGAAUUCUUCUCAGUAACAUUUUUUGAACCAAGAAAAAUUAGUAGAUUCCAAGCUAUAAAGAUAACAUAUUGGCAACAUUAGUUGUAGGGAAUUCAACCACAACUCAUGCAAAGUUAAAAGGAUUAAUUUCUUAUGAAAAUUUCACUCUUUGGUUUUCAGUUCAUUC
rnacentral:lncRNA from 1 species